CCUACGGGAGGCAGCAGUGGGGGAUAUUGCACAAUGGGGGGAACCCUGAUGCAGCGACGCCGCGUGAGCGAUGAAGUAUUUCGGUAUGUAAAGCUCUAUCAGCAGGGAAGAAAAUGACGGUACCUGACUAAGAAGCCCCGGCUAACUACGUGCCAGCAGCCGCGGUAAUACGUAGGGGGCAAGCGUUAUCCGGAUUUACUGGGUGUAAAGGGAGCGUAGACGGCAGUGCAAGUCUGAAGUGAAAGGCAAGGGCUCAACCUUUGGACUGCUUUGGAAACUGUGCUGCUGGAGUGUCGGAGAGGCAAGUGGAAUUCCUAGUGUAGCGGUGAAAUGCGUAGAUAUCUGGAGGAACAUCAGUGGCGAAGGCGACUAUCUGGCACAUAACUGACGCUGAGGAGCGAAAGCGUGGGUAGCAAACAGGAUUAGAUACCCGGGUAGUC
rnacentral:rRNA from 1 species